AGGGGAGCCAGAGCGAGGCAGGAAGGAGGAGGGGGCGGCGGGAGCGAGCCCGCUCCGAGCGGAGGACGCGCACCCCUCGCGCCGCCGGGCCAGCGGCGGCGGCACCCGCUCGGGGGGGCGGGGGGAGGAGCGGGGCGCCCGGGCCGCGGCAGCCGAGCGAGCGCAGACGCAGCGCAGCGCGGGGCAGAGCGAGCCGCGCCGAGCCCCUGGGCGCUGCGCCCCGCGCCUCCCCCCGCCAGGCGCGAGGCGGAGCCGUUGGCCGUUGGGGCUGCCCGGCGGAGCCGCCGCGGGACGGGCGGCGGGGCGCCGAGCCGCCGCGGCCGGAGCGGUAAGUGCAGUGCAAACUCCGGCGCGAUCCUCUCCGGCGGAGCCCUUCCCCGGCUUCUGCUGCUCCGCCGCUCCGCUCUCCUUCCUCCCUCCCUCCUCCGGAGACUUUUCUCCUUCCCCUUCCGAAGCCCUUCUCCCCGCUGGCCCUCCCGGGUGCUCUCCCCUGCUGCGACUCCCUCGCCGCAUCCCUGCCCUCUAUCCCUUUCCCCCGUGGGUCUCUUCCUUUGCGGUUCUUGCUUCGUCUUCGUUGCGGAUUUUCUAACCUUCCUCUGCCUCCCCUCUCCCGUCUUCUGCUCUGCUGCCUUCCUCAUUUUUCCACUUCUGUCGUCGCCAUCCAACUUUCUCUUCCUUGUUGCCUCUUUCCCUUUUUCCGUUCAUAUUCUCCUAUUUCUUUUUGCGUUUUCCUCUUCCCUGUUUCUGACUUCCCCUUAUGCAUUUUUCUUUUUCACUUGCGCUCUUUCCUGUCUCUUCACUUCUUCCCUCUUUUCUUCCCCAGCUCUCUCCAGUUCCUCUCUACCCUUGCAUUUUGUCUUUCUCUCCCCUUCUUUGGGCACCUUCUUGAAAAGUAAGGGUUAUUUUCUGUGCCCUUGGGAGGACAGUUCAGAAGCUACUUUAUCUGCACGGAGAAAUCUCUUCAGUCUUAUGAUAUUUUUCCCCCCCCCUCUUUCUCUCUUCAAAAAGAGGAUUAAGCUUCCCCCCCCCCCUUCCCCACGACGUGGACUGUUUGUUUUGGUCUUUUUUUUUUUUUUUCCCUCUGUCCAGAGAGUGCUGAUUUGUUUCGUGGUUAAUCUCUUUUAUUCUUGUCCCACCCCCUCCUUCUCUCUUCACUCCCCCGGUAAGAAAAAGAUUAAAAGAAAAUCUGUUUUGCCAGCAGGGAAGGGAUGA
rnacentral:lncRNA from 1 species